rnacentral:rRNA from 1 species
AACGAACGCUGGCGGCAUGCCUAACACAUGCAAGUCGAACGAGACCUUCGGGUCUAGUGGCGCACGGGUGCGUAACGCGUGGGAACCUGCCCUUAGGUUCGGAAUAACUCCCCGAAAGGGGUGCUAAUACCGGAUAAUGUCUUCGGACCAAAGAUUUAUCGCCUUUGGAUGGGCCCGCGUUGGAUUAGCUAGUUGGUAGGGUAAAAGCCUACCAAGGCGACGAUCCAUAGCUGGUCUGAGAGGAUGAUCAGCCACACUGGGACUGAGACACGGCCCAGACCCCUCCGGGAGGCAGCGGUGGGGAAUAGUGAACAAGGGGCAAAAGCUUGACCCACAAAUGCCGCGGGAGUAAUGAGGGCUUUAGGGUUGAAAAGUUUUUUUCCCCGGAAUGAAAAUAACAGGCCGGGGAAAAAAAGCCCCGGCAACCCCCGUC